GCGUCGGUUGUUCAGUGGUAGAAUGCUCGCCUCCCAUGUGAGUGGCCCGGGUUCGAUUCCCGGCCGACGCA
rnacentral:tRNA from 1 species